UAGUAUGAUAAAUUUAUUUACAUAAGUUCAAAAUUAUUGAUAUAAGUUCAAACUAUUUGAUUGAAUUAUUGAUAAAAAUUAAAUUUAAAGAAAUUUUUGUAAUCAGCAUUAAUAUAUGUUUAAAAAAUCACUUGAUAUUGCUAUUUGCAAGUAAAUUAAAAUCUCUGUAAAGCCCUUAAAUUAAUUUUAUUUGGCUGAUUGCACAGUAAGGAAUCUGUCAGCUGGAAAGUUUGGGUUUAAUCCUGUAUUCAACCUCCAGUUAUUUUCAGAGAGAUUUUGAUUUAGCAUAUUGAUGCAUCUUCACCAUCUAGGCAAUUUCUUCACAUUUCUGUCCUGUCUGUGAUAUAACAGACCAAUUAGAAACUAAUUGGUUUGUUGUUAUAUAUACUAUAUACGAAUAUGGCAGUGUAUAGCACAAUACAAUCUAACUGUGUCUGAUGUGUCAAUUUACAUCCUCUAUUGACUCCACUGUAAAUGUGGCCAGCAUAUAUUGAGCUAGUAUGUAAGGAACUAAUUCUGUGGGCUGGAACAGACUCAGAGUUUUUUCAGGAAGUAUGUUAUGUUAUUUCAGAAUUUAUUCUUAAUCAUUUAGAUGGAAAGCCAGGACCUCACUUAGCUAUUUGGUUUUUAGUUAAAAAGAUAUGUAAAACAACUUUCCUUUUUCAAUUUGAUUUUUGAAGGAAAAAAUUUUAGCAAAUUUAUUUAAGUUAUAUUAACAAAGUAAAAUAAUAAUAAAUGGUAUUACUUGCAGCCAUAAGCAGAC
rnacentral:lncRNA from 1 species